GCUGGGCAUGGUGGUGCAUGCCUGUAAUCCCAGCUACUCAGGAGGCUGAGGCAGGAGAAUUGCUUGAACCCGGGAGGUGGAGGUUGCAGUGAGCCGAGACUGCACCACUGCACUCCAGCCUGGGUGAGAGAGCAACACUCAGUCUCAA
rnacentral:SRP_RNA from 2 species